rnacentral:rRNA from 1 species
CCUACGGGCGGCUGCAGUGGGGAAUAUUGCACAAUGGGCGAAAGCCUGAUGCAGCGACGCCGCGUGAGGGAUGACGGCCUUCGGGUUGUAAACCUCUUUCAGUAGGGAAGAAGCGAAAGUGACGGUACCUGCAGAAGAAGCACCGGCUAACUACGUGCCAGCAGCCGCGGUAAUACGUAGGGUGCGAGCGUUAUCCGGAAUUAUUGGGCGUAAAGAGCUCGUAGGCGGUUUGUCGCGUCUGUCGUGAAAGUCCGGGGCUUAACCCCGGAUCUGCGGUGGGUACGGGCAGACUAGAGUGCAGUAGGGGAGACUGGAAUUCCUGGUGUAGCGGUGGAAUGCGCAGAUAUCAGGAGGAACACCGAUGGCGAAGGCAGGUCUCUGGGCUGUAACUGACGCUGAGGAGCGAAAGCAUGGGGAGCGAACAGGAUUAGAUACCCCUGUAGUC